rfam:Nematostella vectensis strain CH2 x CH6 NEMVEscaffold_285_Cont22401, whole genome shotgun sequence.
CGAUAACUCAGUUGGUAGAGCGGGGGACUGUAGAUUUAUAAUUGUGAUCCCUAGAUGCUGGGUCGAAUCCGGCUCG